UAGGGAAUNUUCGGCAAUGGGGGCAACCCUGACCGAGCAACGCCGCGUGAGUGAAGAAGGUUUUCGGAUCGUAAAGCUCUGUUGUAAGUCAAGAACGAGUGUGAGAGUGGAAAGUUCACACUGUGACGGUAGCUUACCAGAAAGGGACGGCUAACUACGUGCCAGCAGCCGCGGUAAUACGUAGGUCCCGAGCGUUGUCCGGAUUUAUUGGGCGUAAAGCGAGCGCAGGCGGUUUGAUAAGUUUGAAGUUAAAGGCUGUGGGUCAACCCUUAGUUCGCUUUGGAAACUGUCAAACUUGAGUGCAGAAGGGGAGAGUGGAAUUCCAUGUGUAGCGGUGAAAUGCGUAGAUAUAUGGAGGAACACCGGUGGCGAAAGCGGCUCUCUGGUCUGUAACUGACGCUGAGGCUCGAAAGCGUGGGGAGCGAACAGGAUUAGAUACCCUGGUAGUCCACGCCGUAAACGAUGAGUGCUAGGUGUUGGAUCCUUUCCGGGAUUCAGUGCCGCAGCUAACGCAUUAAGCACUCCGCCUGGGGGGUACGACCGCAAGGUUG
rnacentral:rRNA from 1 species